GACGAACGCUGGCGGCGUGGAUUAGGCAUGCAAGUCGAACGGUAUAAACCUUUUGGGGUUUAGAGAGUGGCGAACGGGUGAGUAACACGUAGGUAAUCUACCCUCAAAACGGGGACAACCCAGGGAAACUUGGGCUAAUACCGGAUGCGUGCAAGCAAUGUUUUGGCUGUUAAUGCUAUUCACGGAAGUGAGUAGUGUUAAUGGUUGAGAGCAUUAUUUGCAUAAAAGGUGGCAUAUGCUGCCGUUUGAGGAUGAGCCUGCGUCCUAUUAGUUAGUUGGUGAGGUAAUGGCUUACCAAGGCGAUGAUAGGUAGGCGGCCUUAACGGGUGGUCGCCCACACUGGGAUUGAGAGACGGCCCAGACUCCUACGGGAGGCAGCAGUGAGGAAUAUUGGUCAAUGGGCGAGAGCCUGAACCAGCCAAGUCGCGUGAAGGAUGAAGGUUUUAUGAAUUGUAAACUUCUUUUGCAGGGGAAUAAAGUGUCCGACGUGUCGGAUUUUGUAUGUACUCUGCGAAUAA
rnacentral:rRNA from 1 species